rnacentral:rRNA from 2 species
UAGAGUUUGAUCAUGGCUCAGGACGAACGCUGGCGGCGUGCCUAAUACAUGCAAGUCGAACGAACUCUGGUAUUGAUUGGUGCUUGCAUCAUGAUUUACAUUUGAGUGAGUGGCGAACUGGUGAGUAACACGUGGGAAACCUGCCCAGAAGCGGGGGAUAACACCUGGAAACAGAUGCUAAUACCGCAUAACAACUUGGACCGCAUGGUCCGAGCUUGAAAGAUGGCUUCGGCUAUCACUUUUGGAUGGUCCCGCGGCGUAUUAGCUAGAUGGUGAGGUAACGGCUCACCAUGGCAAUGAUACGUAGCCGACCUGAGAGGGUAAUCGGCCACAUUGGGACUGAGACACGGCCCAAACUCCUACGGGAGGCAGCAGUAGGGAAUCUUCCACAAUGGACGAAAGUCUGAUGGAGCAACGCCGCGUGAGUGAAGAAGGGUUUCGGCUCGUAAAACUCUGUUGUUAAAGAAGAACAUAUCUGAGAGUAACUGUUCAGGUAUUGACGGUAUUUAACCAGAAAGCCACGGCUAACUACGUGCCAGCAGCCGCGGUAAUACGUAGGUGGCAAGCGUUGUCCGGAUUUAUUGGGCGUAAAGCGAGCGCAGGCGGUUUUUUAAGUCUGAUGUGAAAGCCUUCGGCUCAACCGAAGAAGUGCAUCGGAAACUGGGAAACUUGAGUGCAGAAGAGGACAGUGGAACUCCAUGUGUAGCGGUGAAAUGCGUAGAUAUAUGGAAGAACACCAGUGGCGAAGGCGGCUGUCUGGUCUGUAACUGACGCUGAGGCUCGAAAGUAUGGGUAGCAAACAGGAUUAGAUACCCUGGUAGUCCAUACCGUAAACGAUGAAUGCUAAGUGUUGGAGGGUUUCCGCCCUUCAGUGCUGCAGCUAACGCAUUAAGCAUUCCGCCUGGGGAGUACGGCCGCAAGGCUGAAACUCAAAGGAAUUGACGGGGGCCCGCACAAGCGGUGGAGCAUGUGGUUUAAUUCGAAGCUACGCGAAGAACCUUACCAGGUCUUGACAUACUAUGCAAAUCUAAGAGAUUAGACGUUCCCUUCGGGGACAUGGAUACAGGUGGUGCAUGGUUGUCGUCAGCUCGUGUCGUGAGAUGUUGGGUUAAGUCCCGCAACGAGCGCAACCCUUAUUAUCAGUUGCCAGCAUUAAGUUGGGCACUCUGGUGAGACUGCCGGUGACAAACCGGAGGAAGGUGGGGAUGACGUCAAAUCAUCAUGCCCCUUAUGACCUGGGCUACACACGUGCUACAAUGGAUGGUACAACGAGUUGCGAACUCGCGAGAGUAAGCUAAUCUCUUAAAGCCAUUCUCAGUUCGGAUUGUAGGCUGCAACUCGCCUACAUGAAGUCGGAAUCGCUAGUAAUCGCGGAUCAGCAUGCCGCGGUGAAUACGUUCCCGGGCCUUGUACACACCGCCCGUCACACCAUGAGAGUUUGUAACACCCAAAGUCGGUGGGGUAACCUUUUAGGAACCAGCCGCCUAAGGUGGGACAGAUGAUUAGGGUGAAGUCGUAACAAGGUAGCCGUAGGAGAACCUGCGGUUGGAUCAC